UUAAGUGACUAAGCGUACACGGUGGAUGCCUUGGCAGUCAGAGGCGAUGAAAGACGUAGUAACUUGCGAUAAGCCCAGAUUAGGUAGUAACAACCAUUUGAGUCUGGGAUUUCUGAAUGGGGAAACCCACGUGCAUAAGCACGUAUCCUUACCUGAAUACAUAGGGUAAGGAGGCGAACCGGGGGAACUGAAACAUCUAAGUACCCCGAGGAAAAGAAAUCAACCGAGAUUCCGAAAGUAGCGGCGAGCGAAAUUGGACUAGCCCUUAAGCUUUACACGCGUUAGACGAACGGUCUGGAAAGUCCGACGAUACAGGGUGAUAGUCCCGUAGUUGACGACGUGUGUUCAGUGAAAUCGAGUAGGGCGGGACACGUGAUAUCCUGUCUGAAUAUGGGGGGACCAUCCUCCAAGGCUAAAUACUACUGACUGACCGAUAGUGAACCAGUACCGUGAGGGAAAGGCGAAAAGAACCCCUGUGAGGGGAGUGAAAUAGAACCUGAAACCGUGUACGUACAAGCAGUAGGAGCAGGCUUUGUCCUGUGACUGCGUACCUUUUGUAUAAUGGGUCAGCGACUUAUAUUCAGUGGCAAGGUUAACCAUCUAGGGGAGCCGUAGGGAAACCGAGUCUUAACUGGGCGUUCAGUCUCUGGAUAUAGACCCGAAACCAGGUGAUCUAGCCAUGGGCAGGUUGAAGGUUGAGUAACAUCAACUGGAGGACCGAACCGACUAAUGUUGAAAAAUUAGCGGAUGACUUGUGGCUAGGGGUGAAAGGCCAAUCAAACCUGGAGAUAGCUGGUUCUCCCCGAAAGCUAUUUAGGUAGCGCCUCGGACGAAUACUACUGGGGGUAGAGCACUGUUAAGGCUAGGGGGUCAUCCCGACUUACCAACCCUUUGCAAACUCCGAAUACCAGUAAGUACUAUCCGGGAGACACACGGCGGGUGCUAACGUCCGUCGUGGAGAGGGAAACAACCCAGACCGCCAGCUAAGGUCCCAAAUUACUACUAAGUGGGAAACGAUGUGGGAAGGCUCAGACAGCCAGGAUGUUGGCUUAGAAGCAGCCAUCAUUUAAAGAAAGCGUAAUAGCUCACUGGUCGAGUCGGCCUGCGCGGAAGAUGUAACGGGGCUAAGUAGUAAACCGAAGCUGCGGCAAUAUACUUUUGUAUAUUGGGUAGGGGAGCGUUCUGUAAGCGGUUGAAGGUGUGUGGUAACGCAUGCUGGACGUAUCAGAAGUGCGAAUGCUGACAUGAGUAACGAUAAAGGGGGUGAAAAACCUCCUCGCCGGAAGACCAAGGGUUCCUGUCCAACGUUAAUCGGGGCAGGGUAAGUCGACCCCUAAGGCGAGGCCGAAAGGCGUAGUCGAUGGGAAACGGGUUAAUAUUCCCGUACUUCUUACAAUUGCGAUGGGGGGACGGAGAAGGCUAGGUGGGCCUGGCGACGGUUGUCCAGGUUCAAGUGCGUAGGCUUGAGAGUUAGGUAAAUCCGGCUCUCUUUAAGGCUGAGACACGACGUCGAGCAUCUACGGAUGUGAAGUCAUUGAUGCCAUGCUUCCAGGAAAAGCCUCUAAGCUUCAGAUUGUAAGGAAUCGUACCCCAAACCGACACAGGUGGUCGGGUAGAGAAUACCAAGGCGCUUGAGAGAACUCGGGUGAAGGAACUAGGCAAAAUGGUACCGUAACUUCGGGAGAAGGUACGCUCUUGAUGGUGAAGUCCCUCGCGGAUGGAGCUGACGAGAGUCGCAGAUACCAGGUGGCUGCAACUGUUUAUUAAAAACACAGCACUGUGCAAAAUCGUAAGAUGACGUAUACGGUGUGACGCCUGCCCGGUGCCGGAAGGUUAAUUGAUGGGGUUAGACUUCGGUCGAAGCUCUUGAUCGAAGCCCCGGUAAACGGCGGCCGUAACUAUAACGGUCCUAAGGUAGCGAAAUUCCUUGUCGGGUAAGUUCCGACCUGCACGAAUGGCGUAAUGAUGGCCACGCUGUCUCCACCCGAGACUCAGUGAAAUUGAAAUCGCUGUGAAGAUGCAGUGUACCCGCGGCUAGACGGAAAGACCCCGUGAACCUUUACUACAGCUUGGCACUGAACAUUGACCCUACAUGUGUAGGAUAGGUGGGAGGCUUUGAAGCACGUACGCCAGUAUGUGUGGAGCCGUCCUUGAAAUACCACCCUUGUAGUGUUGAUGUUCUAACGUCGACCCCUUAUCGGGGUUGCGGACAGUGCCUGGUGGGUAGUUUGACUGGGGCGGUCUCCUCCCAAAGAGUAACGGAGGAGCACGAAGGUGGGCUAAUCACGGUUGGACAUCGUGAGGUUAGUGCAAUGGCAUAAGCCCGCUUGACUGCGAGAAUGACAAUUCGAGCAGGUGCGAAAGCAGGUCAUAGUGAUCCGGUGGUUCUGAAUGGAAGGGCCAUCGCUCAACGGAUAAAAGGUACUCCGGGGAUAACAGGCUGAUACCGCCCAAGAGUUCAUAUCGACGGCGGUGUUUGGCACCUCGAUGUCGGCUCAUCACAUCCUGGGGCUGAAGUCGGUCCCAAGGGUAUGGCUGUUCGCCAUUUAAAGUGGUACGCGAGCUGGGUUUAGAACGUCGUGAGACAGUUCGGUCCCUAUCUGCCGUGGGCGUUGGAAGAUUGAAGGGGGCUGCUCCUAGUACGAGAGGACCGGAGUGGACGAACCUCUGGUGUUCGGGUUGUGUCGCCAGACGCAUUGCCCGGUAGCUAAGUUCGGAAUCGAUAACCGCUGAAAGCAUCUAAGCGGGAAGCGAGCCCUGAGAUGAGUCUUCCCUGAUACUUUAAGUAUCCUAAAGGGUUGUCGGAGACUACGACGUUGAUAGGUCAGGUGUGUAAGUGCUGUGAGGCAUUGAGCUAACUGAUACUAAUUGCCCGUGAGGCUUAACCAU
rnacentral:rRNA from 1 species